rnacentral:rRNA from 1 species
AUUGAACGCUGGCGGCAGGCCUAACACAUGCAAGUCGAGCGGAGCGGAGGACGGGUGAGUAAUGCCUAGGAAUCUGCCUGGUAGUGGGGGAUAACGUACGGAAACGGGCGCUAAUACGGCAUACUAUCAGAUGGGCCUAGGUCGGAUUAGCUAGGUGGUGGGGUAACGGACUACCAAGGCGACGAUCCGUAACUGGUCUGAGAGGAUGAUCAGUCACAAUGGAACGGAGACACGGUCCAGACUCCUACGGGAGGCAGCAGUGGGGAAUAUUGGACAAUGGGCGAAAGCCUGAUCCAGCCAUGCCGCGUGUGUGAAGAAGGUCUUCGGAUUGUAAAGCACUUUAAGUUGUGAGGCGUUACCAACAGAAUAAGCACCGGCUAACUUCGUGCCAGCAGCCGCGGUAAUUC